rnacentral:rRNA from 1 species
UGAGCAACCUGCCCUUGACUCUGGAAUAACAGCUGGAAACAGCUGCUAAUACCGGAUACGACCUCCGAUGGCAUCAUCUGGAGGUGGAAAGCUCCGGCGGAGAAGGAUGAGCUCGCGGCCUAUCAGCUUGUUGGUGGGGUAACGCCCACAAGGCGACGACGGGUAGCCGGCCUGAGAGGGCGACCGGCCACACUGGGACUGAGACACGGUCCAGACUCCGUAGGAGG